UACAGAGGGUGCGAGCGUUAAUCGGAAUUACUGGGCGUAAAGGGCGCGUAGGCGGUGAGAUGUGUGUGAUGUGAAAGCCCCGGGCUCAACCCGGGAAGUGCACUCGAAACUGCGAGGCUAGAGUAUCGGAGAGGUUGGUGGAAUUCUCGGUGUAGAGGUGAAAUUCGUAGAUAUCGAGAGGAACACCGGUGGCGAAGGCGGCCAACUGGACGAAUACUGACGCUGAGACUCGAAAGCGUGGGGAGCAAACAGG
rnacentral:rRNA from 1 species